rfam:Trichodesmium erythraeum IMS101, complete genome.
CCACUAAGCUAGGGGUGCCUAAAAUAUUUAGGCUGAGAAAUACCCUUAGAACCUGAGACUGGUUAAUACCAGCGGAGGGAAGCUGUUUAUUUAAGGA